CCGCUUGCGCCCCCGCCCCGCCCCGCCUAUAUCUGGCGCGUUCGGGUUCGCCCGGACUAUGGCGAUAAACGCACCUGUAAUAAACGGAUCGGACCCGGGGGCGGUACCCGGCGGCUCCACCAUUCACCGCUCGUUGGGCGUGGCGGGGGCCGAAACAGGAUCGACGGACGUCUAAAGAGGCCAGCUUUCGCUCGGUGAGGUACCACCGUUAUCGGUCCAAAAGUACAGUUGCCAACGACAACCGUGCUCCGGUCGCUCUGGCUGCGUAAGCAGCUCGGGUAACCGAAACUUAAGUCCUUACGCUUAGCCGCCUAAGGCGGGGCCCGCCGGAGCCUGGCAACAGAAUCCGGCACC
rfam:Rhodobacterales bacterium 65-51 scnpilot_p_inoc_scaffold_22, whole genome shotgun sequence.